UUACGGCCAUAUCAACUUGAAACUCCAGUUCCUGUAUGAUCACGGAAGUUAAGCAACGUCGAGCCUUGUUAGUACCUAGAUGGGUGACCGCUUUGGAAUAGCAGGUGCU